UAGUAGGACCUAACUAACCUUGAAAGACUUUGACAAGCUAAGCAGGGUUGGGCUUGGUUAGUGUCUGGAUGGGAAACCACCUGUGAAAGUCGAGUUGUUAAUGU
rnacentral:rRNA from 1 species